UACGAAGGGUGCAAGCGUUACUCGGAAUUACUGGGCGUAAGGCGUGCGUAGGCGGUUCGUUAAGUCUGUCGUGAAAGCCCUGGGCUCAACCUGGGAAUUGCGAUGGAUACUGGCGAGCUAGAGUACGGUAGAGGAUGGUGGAAUUCCCGGUGUAGCGGUGAAAUGCGUAGAGAUCGGGAGGAACACCCGUGGCGAAGGCGGCCAUCUGGACCAGUACUGACGCUGAGGCACGAAAGCGUGGGGAGCAAACAGG
rnacentral:rRNA from 1 species